rnacentral:rRNA from 1 species
CUGCGGAGGGGGAUAACCCCGGGAAACUGGGGAUAAACCCCCAUAGGUGACUGGGUCUGGAAGGACCGGUCGCCGAAAGUCCCGGUCGGGGAUGCUCCGGCCGGGAGCCGCAGGAUGGGGCUGCGUCCUAUCAGGUAGUUGGUGGGGUAACGGCCCACCAAGCCUGUGACGGGUAGGGGCCCUGAGAGGGGGAGCCCCCAGAUGGACUCUGAGACAAGAGUCCAGGCCCUACGGGGCGCAGCAGGCGCGAAGACUCCGCAAUGGGCGAAAGCCCGACGGGGCUACCCCGAGUGCCACCCUCGUGGUGGCUUUUGCCCGCUCUAAAAAGGCGGGCGAAUAAGGGGAGGGCAAGUCGGGUGUCAGCCGCCGCGGUAAUACCCGCUCCCCGAGUGGUGGAGGCUAUUACUGGGCCUAAAGCGCCCGUAGCCGGCCCGGUGUGUCCCUCGUUAAAUCCACGGGCUUAACCCGUGGGCUGCGGGGGAUACUACCGGGCUUGGGGGUGGGAGAGGCGCCCGGUAUUCCCGGGGUAGGGGUAAAAUCCUCUGAUCCCGGGAGGACCAUCAGUGGCGAAGGCGGGGCGCCAGAACACGCCCGACGGUGAGGGGUGAAAGCUGGGGGAGCAAACGGGAUUAGAUACCCCCGUAGUC